ACCUCCUGACUUGCUUUCCUUCUUACAUGCCUUGAGUGUAGGACCGUUGGCAUCUUAAUUACCCUCCCACACCCAAGGCUUGCAGGAGGGCCAGCCUUCCCCUUUC
rnacentral:pre_miRNA from 1 species